rnacentral:rRNA from 1 species
CCCCUAGAUGUUCUGGGCCGCACGCGCGCUACACUGAACAGUUCAACAAGUCUUAACCUUGGCCGAUAGGUCUGGGUAAUCUUUGAACGCUGUUCGUGAUUGGGAUAGACCUUUGCAAUUAUGGGUCUUCAACGAGGAAUUCCUAGUAAACGCAAGUCAUCAGCUUGCAUUGAUUACGUCCCUGCCCUUUGUACACACCGCCCGUCGCACCUACCGAUUGAAUGGUCCGGUGAAAUCUCGGGACGGCGGCUUGGUCGCUUGCGUCCGACUGCUGAAACUUGAUUAAACCAUAUCAUUUAGAGGAAGGUGGAGUCGUAACA